GGUUAACGCUGGCGGCGUGCCUAACACAUGCAAGUCGAACGGUUCUAAGCGCGAGCUUAGGAUAGUGGCGAACGGGUGAGUAAAAGGUAGGAAUCUACCCCUUGGACGGAGAUAGCUACUGGAAACGGUAGGUAAACUUCGAUAAGCCCGAGAGGGGAAAGUGGUGAGACAGCCGAGGGAUGAGCCUACUCUCCAUCAGGUAGUUGGUGAGAUAAAAGCUUACCAAGCCGAUGACGGAUAACCGGUGUGAGAGCAUGAACGGUCACAAGGGCACCGAGAGACGGGCCCUACUCCUACGGGAGGCAGCAGUGGGGAAUCUUGGACAAUGGGCGAAAGCCUGAUCCAGCGACGCCGCGUGGAGGAAGAAGUCCUUCGGGAUGUAAACUUCUGAACUAGCCGAAUAAAAGGCCUGUGGACACACAGGAGAAGAAAGUAGGCUAGGAAAAGUCCCGGCUAACUAC
rnacentral:rRNA from 1 species